rnacentral:rRNA from 1 species
GCAAGUCGCACGGACCUUUCGGGGUGNNGUGGCGGACGGGUGAGUAACGCGUAGGUAUCUAUCCAUGGGUGGGGGAUAACAUUGGGAAACUGGUGCUAAUACCGCAUGACACCUGAGGGUCAAAGGCGCAAGUCGCCUGUGGAGGAGCCUGCGUUCGAUUAGCUAGUUGGUUGGGUAAUGGCUGACCAAGGCGAUGAUCGAUAGCUGGUUUGAGAGGAUGAUCAGCCACACUGGGACUGAGACACGGCCCAGACUCCUACGGGAGGCAGCAGUGGGGAAUAUUGGACAAUGGGGGCAACCCUGAUCCAGCAAUGCCGCGUGUGUGAAGAAGGUCUUCGGAUUGUAAAGCACUUUCGUUGGGGACGAUGAUGACGGUACCCAAAGAAGAAGCCCCGGCUAACUUCGUGCCAGCAGCCGCGGUAAUACGAAGGGGGCUAGCGUUGCUCGGAAUGACUGGGCGUAAAGGGCGCGUAGGCGGUUUAAGCAGUCAGAUGUGAAAUCCCCGGGCUUAACCUGGGAACUGCAUUUGAGACGCUUAGACUAGAGUUCGAGAGAGGGUUGUGGAAUUCCCAGUGUAGAGGUGAAAUUCGUAGAUAUUGGGAAGAACACCGGUGGCGAAGGCGGCAACCUGGCUCGAUACUGACGCUGAGGCGCGA